UUCUCACUGAAUCUCUCUGGGCAUGAUGAUAAUACAUGUAAUGUCAGUGCUCAGGAGGCUGAGGCAGGAGGAU
rnacentral:miRNA from 1 species